CCAGAUGGGAGAGUGAGAUGAGCUCUUAGGCAGAAGCUCUUCCCUAUGAGGGUGCUGAGGCGCUGGCACAGGGUGCCCAGAGAAGCUGUGGCUGCCCCAUCCCUGGCAGUGUUCAAGGCCAGGUUGGACACAGGGGCUUGGAGCAACCUGCUCUAGUGGAAGGUGUCCUUGCCCAUAGCAGGGGCUGGAACUGGAUGAGCUUUGAAGUCCCUUCCACCCCAAACCAGUCUGGGAUUCUGUGCAAUCAUCGCUUUGAUGCGUUAACCAAGGCUGUGCUCAUUGGGUAAGCCACCAGAGGACCUUCAGGGUUACUGUGUGGUGGCUCAACACCCUGACAAACUGUAUGGAUAGGUUCAGAAAUCAUCCUCUGAUGAUGAACACGUGGUGAAGAAAUCCAGCUCUGGCCUUUCGUUUUUGGCUUUGGGAUAUUUCUGUCUCAUCGGUAUUAAGAGCUUUGUUCUCCAGAUGUGUAAACCAUAGAUACCGGUUGUCUUUCUGAAAUAAACUUGACAGUAAAACAAGUUUUCUGCUGUUUUUUUCUUCUUUCACUAUACAAAGCAAUGACAUCAGCUAUUCUGAUUGGAACCAGGAGCUGCUGCACACACUGAGAAAAGUUGUGGUGACAAACUGGACUCCCCGGCAGACCACCUGCAUCAUCUGUUCCUUCUGGGCCACGCUAUGGCAGGAUGAGCACAGCCUGGCUGCUACUGCAAACCACCUGUGAAACAAAAGGUUUUGAGAGAACAGAUAAGAUCCUUCAUAUUCUUCUUUUUGCCAGCCAGAUCAUGAAGCUCCUUGGACUCUUCUCCUGACUUCUAGUGUUGACUUAACACAAGCAGAAGGAAUAUAAAACAGGCAUUAGUGAGAGUGGGGCCACUCUCACUAGCGCAACACAGAUUUGAGCUACAAUAAGCUGGUCAUAAAACCAUUUCCUUGUGGGCUCCAACAAUGAGGCUUAAAGGAAUGGAUAGAUCUGCCUCAGUAAGUCUGAGUAUUGGAAAAGUAGUGGUGCCCACUGUGAACACUGCCUGCAUCUCUCCGACACAAUGGAGGGAGUUUCAGGUGGUGAGUACUCCCCUGCUUGGGGGGAAAAGAAACAACCAACCCAGCCUGAAAUCUGAUAGAUCAGUCUUGAAGGAGAGGCAGCUUCAUUGUACAGCUACAUAGAAAAAGAUACUCACUUUGCUUUAUGUAUUUUGCUAGAAGUCUGGAGCUUAAAUUUUAAAGGAAGUCUGGGAACACACUGUGAAGCAGACCAUCAGUAUGAAUAAAAUA